GCAAAAUAAACACAGAAGCAUCGCAACACUUGAACUCAGCAUGUUCCAAAAGCAAAAGAUACAAGUUUCAGUCGCAAUCACAAUACCAGAAUUGAAGGUUAAGUUCCUGUUUUAUACUCAAAUCAAACUCAACUGAAAUUGCUAGUUCGAAGUUAAUCAAUUCAAGCUCCAAGAAUUGAACUCCAGCAAGUCUAGCAAUUCUCACUCACAAAUCAGCAGCAACAAUAUCUCAGUUCAAUAUAAGGAUGGCAACCAGCUUAAGAACCGAGCUCACAUUCCUUCUAAAGAUUCAUUUCUCAGCAGUAAAAUAAGAGCAAAUUCAGUUUUUUUACAAGUUCAGAGUUUUGGACAGAAUGAAUACAUUUUCUCAAACAUCACAAGUUAAUCCAACUAAUGCAGCAAGGAAUUAGACUUCAAUAGCAAUAGACACUAUCAAAUCCAACAGCAAGGAAUACCAAGACCAAUUUUAGCUCAACAUUCAAAAACAAAGUAGUAAGCAACACGAGCCAAAUCAUUCAAAUCAAUUAACUCAGAUGAUCUAGUCGAAGUUCAACUACAACUCAAACUUCCUUCAAAAUUUUAAGCACAUAAAACUAACUUUCGACUUAGAAGAAUCAAACCUGAUGCCUUCGGGAAUUGGAUACGUAUUGACGCGGAGGGACGAUGAGUAGGCUACGCAGCUUCAAACUCAAUCCCAGAAACUGAAGUUGGUCUUCGAGCCUCAACACAGAAAAUCCGAUUAUCGAACAAACCUUCACCAAAUCGAGCUCAUGCUUUGGAUUCUGCUUCCGAACAGCAUAAAAAUAAAACCCCCAAAGAUUAAUUUCUAGAAACAAUCACGAAUUCAGAAGAAUCCAGCUCGUCGUCCUCUCCGAAAUUGAAAUCAAAAUUUUCAAUCAAAACCCUAGAAAUUCAGUGUUGUUUUGGGUGAAACUCGGCCAUUAAUCUUAAACUCGGCAAAGAAGAAAAAGAAUAGAGAUCAUAGAGGUGAUUUUGGGUGAAUAUACGAGGAAGCUCUGGGGAUCGACGAGGGAGUUUGGAUAUAGUACUUGGAGCUACAUUUGGAACUUUAGGUGUAUCGAUAGAUUAGGCCAUUAAUCUCAAAAAUGAGAAAAAUAAAAAUACAACAGGUCAUUUGGCGGGCCACUAAAAAUUUCAGCAAAAAAAACGAGGGAAUUGAAUAAC
rnacentral:lncRNA from 1 species